UCCCGACGAGAAGUUUUUGAUGUAUCUGUUGGUUGCUAUAUUAGUAUAGCCGGAGAAAGUUUAUUUAGAGACUAGUACAAAUUCCCGUGCGUUGCACCGGGCAAAAAUUAUACACUGCUUACAUGUUCAACCAUCUUAAUCCUGAUGAAACAGAGGAUCUUAAUCUUGAUGAAACAAAAAACCUAUAAAUAAAAGUGUAUAAAACCUUGAACAUGGAAAUUAUCAAUCAGGAUAUUAUCAUGUCAUACUUCACAUAGUUUUUAACAAUCUCUGUCAUAAAGGUCUCAUCUUGUUAUAUUCCAAGAUUACCAUCUUGUUUUAAGAGUGC
rnacentral:lncRNA from 1 species